rnacentral:rRNA from 1 species
CACGGAGUUAGCCGAUGCUUUUUCUUCGGAUACACGCAGUCCGGGACACGUCCCGGGUUUUGUUCUCCGACAAAAGAGGUUUACAACCCAUAGGGCCGUCUUCCCUCACGCGGCUUGGCUGGUUCAGGAUCUCUCCCAUUGACCAAUAUUCCUCACUGCUGCCUCCCGUAGGAGUCUGGUCCGUGUCCCAGUACCAGUGUGGGGGACCUUCCUCUCAGAACCCCUACGCAUCGUCGCCACGGUGGGCCGUUACCCCGCCGUCAAGCUAAUGCGCCGCAUGCCCAUCCUCUUCCGAUGAAUCUUUCCUCGAUCUCGGAUGCCCGAAACCGAUAUACGCGGGAUUAGCCUCCCUUUCGGAAGGUUGUCCCCCUGAAGAGGGCAGGUUGCAUACGUGUUACUCACCCGUGCGCCGGUCGCCGGCAAGGAAAGCAAGCUUCCCUCCCGAUGCCCCUCGACUUGCAUGUGUUAAGCCUGCCGCUAGCGUUCAUCCUGAGCCAGGAUCAAACUCU